GACGAACGCUGGCGGCGUGCUUAAUACAUGCAAGUCAACUUGACUUUAGAUAGCAAUAUCGAAAAGUAGGGUGGCGCACGGGUGCGUAACGCGUAGGUAAUCUGCCCUGAGGUCUGACAUAACCCGUCGAAAGGCGGGCUAACAUCAGAUGAUAUAUAAUCACGACAUCGUGGUAAUAUCAAAUCUUCGGAGCCUUGGGAUGAGCCUGCGUCUGAUUAGGUAGUUGGCGGAGUAAUAGCCCACCAAGCCUACGAUCAGUAGCUGGUCUGAGAGGAUGAUCAGCCACACUGGAACUGAGACACGGUCCAGACUCCUACGGGAGGCAGCAGUAAGGAAUAUUGCUCAAUGGGGGAAACCCUGAAGCAGCAACGCCGCGUGAAGGAUGAAAUACUUUGUAUGUAAACUUCUGUAAGAUGGGAAAAAUAUUACUCCUCGGGAGAAUUGAUUGUACCAUCAGAGUAAGCCCCGGCUAACUACGUGCCAGC
rnacentral:rRNA from 1 species